UGCGCCGGAGGGUUCGUUCUGCGCAGGCGCACAUUCCGGGGCCGGAUUUUUGAGUGGUGUGCGGUAGUGCUCGGUGACCUCCUGUUUUUGUCUGCCUUCACCUUCAAGAGUCUUUCUUUGACGCAGGAAUUCCAGACUUUUACAUUUAGAUGAGUCCCAGGGUGGUGGUAGUCAUUUAAACAAACAGAGGAAAAAAAACCCUGAAUGCUUGAUGAUCCAUUAUUUCGGUGUUGCUGUUAGAAUGUUACUGCAGUAUUUUGUGUUAACAACGUCUGCCAUUAAGGAUCCCCUGCAAUGGGUAUAAAAGCUGUGAGAGGUGCUGAUAAUAAGUCUUGAGGAGGAUCAGCAGACCCUACAAGGCAACUAACUACCUCAGGAUGGGUCAUUACAGAUUUUACAGGUACCUGCAGGAGCCAUGCUGCAAGUGCUCAUAGGAGCCAAGGUGCUGCACAUGCAUCUGGGCCAGGGCUCAGAGAAACUGAAGAAGGUCCUGGAGUUGCUGAAAGAGUUCCUCACUUGGCCACUGCUCCAC